GUGGGAAUAGCUCAGUGGUAGGGUGCAUGUUUAGCAUGCACAAGGUCCUGGGUUCAACCCCCAGUGCCUCCA
rnacentral:tRNA from 1 species